AGCGUACACGGUGGAUGCCCUGGCAGUCAGAGGCGAUGAAGGACGUGCUAAUCUGCGAUAAGCGUCGGUAAGGUGAUAUGAACCGUUAUAACCGGCGAUUUCCGAAUGGGGAAACCCAGUGUGAUUCGUCACACUAUCAUUAACUGAAUCCAUAGGUUAAUGAGGCGAACCGGGGGAACUGAAACAUCUAAGUACCCCGAGGAAAAGAAAUCAACCGAGAUUCCCCCAGUAGCGGCGAGCGAACGGGGAGCAGCCCAGAGCCUGAAUCAGUAUGUGUGUUAGUGGAAGCGUCUGGAAAGGCGUGCGAUACAGGGUGACAGCCCCGUACACAAAAAUGCACAUGCUGUGAGCUCGAUGAGUAGGGCGGGACACGUGGUAUCCUGUCUGAAUAUGGGGGGACCAUCCUCCAAGGCUAAAUACUCCUGACUGACCGAUAGUGAACCAGUACCGUGAGGGAAAGGCGAAAAGAACCCCGGCGAGGGGAGUGAAAAAGAACCUGAAACCGUGUACGUACAAGCAGUGGGAGCCUCUUUAAUGGGGUGACUGCGUACCUUUUGUAUAAUGGGUCAGCGACUUAUAUUCUGUAGCAAGGUUAACCGAAUAGGGGAGCCGAAGGGAAACCGAGUCUUAACUGGGCGUUAAGUUGCAGGGUAUAGACCCGAAACCCGGUGAUCUAGCCAUGGGCAGGUUGAAGGUUGGGUAACACUAACUGGAGGACCGAACCGACUAAUGUUGAAAAAUUAGCGGAUGACUUGUGGCUGGGGGUGAAAGGCCAAUCAAACCGGGAGAUAGCUGGUUCUCCCCGAAAGCUAUUUAGGUAGCGCCUCGUGAAUUCAUCUCCGGGGGUAGAGCACUGUUUCGGCAAGGGGGUCAUCCCGACUUACCAACCCGAUGCAAACUGCGAAUACCGGAGAAUGUUAUCACGGGAGACACACGGCGGGUGCUAACGUCCGUCGUGAAGAGGGAAACAACCCAGACCGCCAGCUAAGGUCCCAAAGUCAUGGUUAAGUGGGAAACGAUGUGGGAAGGCCCAGACAGCCAGGAUGUUGGCUUAGAAGCAGCCAUCAUUUAAAGAAAGCGUAAUAGCUCACUGGUCGAGUCGGCCUGCGCGGAAGAUGUAACGGGGCUAAACCAUGCACCGAAGCUGCGGCAGCGACACUAUGUGUUGUUGGGUAGGGGAGCGUUCUGUAAGCCGUUGAAGGUGGCCUGUGAGGGUUGCUGGAGGUAUCAGAAGUGCGAAUGCUGACAUAAGUAACGAUAAAGCGGGUGAAAAGCCCGCUCGCCGGAAGACCAAGGGUUCCUGUCCAACGUUAAUCGGGGCAGGGUGAGUCGACCCCUAAGGCGAGGCCGAAAGGCGUAGUCGAUGGGAAACAGGUUAAUAUUCCUGUACUUGGUGUUACUGCGAAGGGGGGACGGAGAAGGCUAUGUUGGCCGGGCGACGGUUGUCCCGGUUUAAGCGUGUAGGCUGAUUUUCCAGGCAAAUCCGGAGAAUCAAGGCUGAGGCGUGAUGACGAGGCACUACGGUGCUGAAGCAACAAAUGCCCUGCUUCCAGGAAAAGCCUCUAAGCAUCAGGUAACAUCAAAUCGUACCCCAAACCGACACAGGUGGUCAGGUAGAGAAUACCAAGGCGCUUGAGAGAACUCGGGUGAAGGAACUAGGCAAAAUGGUGCCGUAACUUCGGGAGAAGGCACGCUGAUGGUAGGUGAAGCGACUUGCUCGUGGAGCUGAAAUCAGUCGAAGAUACCAGCUGGCUGCAACUGUUUAUUAAAAACACAGCACUGUGCAAACACGAAAGUGGACGUAUACGGUGUGACGCCUGCCCGGUGCCGGAAGGUUAAUUGAUGGGGUCAGCCGCAAGGCGAAGCUCUUGAUCGAAGCCCCGGUAAACGGCGGCCGUAACUAUAACGGUCCUAAGGUAGCGAAAUUCCUUGUCGGGUAAGUUCCGACCUGCACGAAUGGCGUAAUGAUGGCCAGGCUGUCUCCACCCGAGACUCAGUGAAAUUGAACUCGCUGUGAAGAUGCAGUGUACCCGCGGCAAGACGGAAAGACCCCGUGAACCUUUACUAUAGCUUGACACUGAACAUUGAGCCUUGAUGUGUAGGAUAGGUGGGAGGCUUUGAAGUGUGGACGCCAGUCUGCAUGGAGCCGACCUUGAAAUACCACCCUUUAAUGUUUGAUGUUCUAACGUGGACCCGUGAUCCGGGUUGCGGACAGUGUCUGGUGGGUAGUUUGACUGGGGCGGUCUCCUCCUAAAGAGUAACGGAGGAGCACGAAGGUUGGCUAAUCCUGGUCGGACAUCAGGAGGUUAGUGCAAUGGCAUAAGCCAGCUUGACUGCGAGCGUGACGGCGCGAGCAGGUGCGAAAGCAGGUCAUAGUGAUCCGGUGGUUCUGAAUGGAAGGGCCAUCGCUCAACGGAUAAAAGGUACUCCGGGGAUAACAGGCUGAUACCGCCCAAGAGUUCAUAUCGACGGCGGUGUUUGGCACCUCGAUGUCGGCUCAUCACAUCCUGGGGCUGAAGUAGGUCCCAAGGGUAUGGCUGUUCGCCAUUUAAAGUGGUACGCGAGCUGGGUUUAGAACGUCGUGAGACAGUUCGGUCCCUAUCUGCCGUGGGCGCUGGAGAACUGAGGGGGGCUGCUCCUAGUACGAGAGGACCGGAGUGGACGCAUCACUGGUGUUCGGGUUGUCAUGCCAAUGGCACUGCCCGGUAGCUAAAUGCGGAAGAGAUAAGUGCUGAAAGCAUCUAAGCACGAAACUUGCCCCGAGAUGAGUUCU
rnacentral:rRNA from 1 species